rnacentral:rRNA from 1 species
ACGAACGCUGGCGGCGUGCUUAACACAUGCAAGUCGGACGGAAAGGCCCUGCUUUUGUGGGGUGCUCGAGUGGCGAACGGGGGAGUAACACGUGAGUAACCUGCCCUUGACUUUGGGAUAACUUCAGGAAACUGGGGCUAAUACCGGAUAGGAGCUCCUGCUGCAUGGGGGGGGUUGGAAAGGUUCGGCGGUUGGGGAUGGACUCGCGGCUUAUCAGCUUGUUGGUGGGGUAGUGGCUUACCAAGGCUUUGACGGGUAGCCGGCCUGAGAGGGUGACCGGCCACAUUGGGACUGAGAUACGGCCCAGACUCCUACGGGAGGCAGCAGUGGGGAAUAUUGCACAAUGGGCGGAAGCCUGAUGCAGCAACGCCGCGUGCGGGAUGACGGCCUUCGGGUUGUAAACCGCUUUCGCCUGUGACGAAGCGUGAGUGACGGUAAUGGGUAAAGAAGCACCGGCUAACUACGUG